rnacentral:rRNA from 1 species
GAUGAACGCUGGCGGCGUGCCUAAUACAUGCAAGUCGAGCGAACGGACGAGAAGCUUGCUUCUCUGAUGUUAGCGGCGGACGGGUGAGUAACACGUGGAUAACCUACCUAUAAGACUGGGAUAACUUCGGGAAACCGUAGCUAAUACCGGAUAAUAUUUUGAACCGCAUGGUUCAAAAGUGAAAGACGGUCUUGCUGUCACUUAUAGCUGGAUCCGCGCUGCAUUAGCUAGUUGGUAAGGUAGCGGCUUACCAAGGCAACGAUGCAUAGCCGACCUGAGAGGGUGAUCGGCCACACUGGAACUGAGACACGGUCCAGACUCCUACGGGAGGCAGCAGUAGGGAAUCUUCCGCAAUGGGCGAAAGCCUGACGGAGCAACGCCGCGUGAGUGAUGAAGGUCUUCGGAUCGUAAAACUCUGUUAUUAGGGAAGAACAUAUGUGUAAGUAACUGUGCACAUCUUGACGGUACCUAAUCAGAAAGCCACGGCUAACUACGUG